UGAAUGUCGUUGCAAAUUGAAGGCGGUUUUAAAAGUGCGAUAGGUUUUAAAGUCGACAAAUCUGAAUCGAAUAGAGAGGGAAUCGCCCUUUUUUCUUCAUCCCAAUUUUUGAGCAUCACCUUCACCAGCAGCCAUGUCCGCCGAAGCAGCCUCCUCUCUUCAACGAAACCAAGUUGAUUUACUGGAGUUUAUCGAUUGGUCUAGUGUGGAAUGUUUGAAUCAAAAAAGCAGCCACUCCCUUCCUAACGCUCUCAAACAGGGGUACAGGGACGAUGAAGGAUUGAACUUGGAAAGUGAUGCGGAUGAGCAGCUCUUAAUUUACAUUCCCUUUAAUCAAGUUGUUAAAAUUCAUUCCAUAGUAAUUAAAGGGCCAGAGGAGGAAGGUCCAAAAACUGUGAAACUUUUUGCUAACAGGGAGCACAUGGGAUUUAGUAAUGUCAAUGAUUUCCCCCCAAGUGAUACCAUGGUUUUAUCUGAGGAGAACCUUAAGGGGAAACCAGUUAUAUUGAAGUACGUCAAGUUUCAGAAUGUUCGCAGCUUGACAAUCUUCAUUGAGGACAAUCAAUCUGGUUCUGAAAUUUCGAAAGUUCAAAAGAUUGCUCUAUAUGGAACAACGUAAGUUUUCAUUGCACUUCUCCUUUGAACAUCUAUCAAUUUACCGUUGCAAAAUUAAAUUAGAUGAUUUAGCUGCCAAGAGUUUCAAUACCACCAUUUUUACAUGUUUACUAUGAGUCUAUGAUAGAAAAAAAAAAUUGGGCAGGGUGAAAUAUUUUCCCAGGGAGCUCAUUUUCUCUUAAAAGUUGGAUAAUAUUAUCUUUAGGCAAACUCUAUGCCUCGUCUCUAGGGAUGUCAGGUCAACCCACUCGGUUUUGGGAUAGUCUUAUCGAUUUGUAGCCAGUCCUAUUGGUUUGUAGGGUUAUUCAGCUACUAAUUAUCCAGGUUGAAAAAAUUUGGGAUAUAAAUUUUUGACCCGUACUCAAACUUUCGCGUUUUCAAAAAUGUUUAACUUUAUAUAUUUCUCAGGAUUGCUUAAAUAUGCAUAUUCUGCUAGUCAUUGGGAUGAUUUGCCAUGAAAUUCAAAUUUUCCUUGGAUUAUGCAGGGUUCAAACGACGGAUAUGAAAAGUCUGAAGAAGCUCGAGGAGCACUGAGUCCCCUUGAAACGGGCAAGAGACGUCGAAAAUCUUUAUUGCCUUGAAGUAUUUUCAGCAACUUAUUUAAAUAGAGGAAGGGGAAUUGGUUGAAAAGCCUUCCCCCUGUAGUAGAAAAACUCAUUAUUUAUCACCCCUCACAUCUCUCAAUGGUGUAAGUGUAACUGAUGAAUUUGGUAGGUCUCUGUUUUCAUAGACAAAUUUGCAAAUUAUAUUAUUCCCUUUUUCGACAUUGUUAAGAUUGAUCCAAUUGAGAUGGUUAUUUUAAA